GGGAUUGCCUCAGUAACGGCGAGUGAAGCGGCAACAGCUCAAAUUUGAAAUCUGGCCCUUUCGGGGUCCGAAUUGUAAUUUGUAGAGAGUGCUUCGGGCGAGGCCUCGGUCUAAGUCCAUUGGAACAUGGUGUCAUAGAGGGUGAGAAUCCCGUAUGCGACCGUGGCUCGAGCCCAUGUGAAGCCUCUUCGACGAGUCGAGUUGUUUGGGAAUGCAGCUCAAAAUGGGUGGUAAAUUUCAUCUAAAGCUAAAUACUGGCUGGAGACCGAUAGCGCACAAGUAGAGUGAUCGAAAGAUGAAAAGCACUUUGGAAAGAGAGUCAAACAGUACGUGAAAUUGUUGAAAGGGAAGCGCUUGCAACCAGACCUGCCCGUAGGCGAUCAGCCGCUGUUCUCAGCGGUGUACUCGCUCUGCGAUCAGGCCAGCAUCGGUUUCGGCGGUCGGAUAAAGGCCUUGGGAAUGUAGCUUCCCUUCGGGGGAGUCUUAUAGCCCUCGGUGCAAUGCGGCCAGCCGGGACCGAGGACCGCGCUUCGGCUAGGAUGCUGGCGUAAUGGUUGUAAGCGACCCGUCUUGAAACACGGACCAAGGAGUCUAACAUCUAUGCGAGUGUUUGGGUGUCAAACCCAUGCGCGGAAUGAAAGUGAACGGAGGUGAGAACCCUUAAGGGCGCAUCAUCGACCGAUCCAGAUGUCUUCGGAUGGAUUUGAGUAUGAGCAUAGCUGUUGGGACCCGAAAGAUGGUGAACUAUGCCUGAAUAGGGUGAAGCCAGAGGAAACUCUGGUGGAGGCUCGCAGCGGUUCUGACGUGCAAAUCGAUCGUCAAAUUUGGGUAUAGGGGCGAAAGACUAAUCGAACCA
rnacentral:rRNA from 1 species